rnacentral:rRNA from 1 species
GAUGAACGCUAGCUACAGGCUUAACACAUGCAAGUUGAGGGGCAGCAUGGUCUUAGCUUGCUAAGGCCGAUGGCGACCGGCGCACGGGUGAGUAACACGUAUCCAACCUGCCGUCUACUCUUGGACAGCCUUCUGAAAGGAAGAUUAAUACAAGAUGGCAUCAUGAGUCCGCAUGUUCACAUGAUUAAAGGUAUUCCGGUAGACGAUGGGGAUGCGUUCCAUUAGAUAGUAGGCGGGUAACGGCCCACCUAGUCUUCGAUGGAUAGGGGUUCUGAGAGGAAGGUCCCCCACAUUGGAACUGAGACACGGUCCAAACUCCUACGGGAGGCAGCAGUGAGGAAUAUUGGUCAAUGGGCGAGAGCCUGAACCAGCCAAGUAGCGUGAAGGAUGACUGCCCUAUGGGUUGUAAACUUCUUUUUAAUAAAGGAAUAAAGUCGGUAUGUAUACCCGUUUGCAUGUACUUUAUGAAUAAGGAUC